rnacentral:rRNA from 1 species
AUUGAACGCUGGCGGCAGGCUUAACACAUGCAAGUCGAGCGAGCGGCGGACGGGUGAGUAAUGUCUGGGAAACUGCCUGAUGGAGGGGGAUAACUACUGGAAACGGUAGCUAAUACCGCAUACCAUCAGAUGUGCCCAGAUGGGAUUAGCUAGUAGGUGGGGAAAUGGCUCACCUAGGCGACGAUCCCUAGCUGUUCUGAGAGGAUGACCAGCCACACUGGAACUGAGACACGGUCCCGACUCCUACGGGAGGCAGCAGUGGGGAAUAUUGCACAGUGGGCGCAAGCCUGAUGCAGCCAUGCCGCGUGUGUGAAGCAGGCCUUCGGGUUGUAAAGCCCUUUCAGCGAGGAGGCUUUACUCUCAGAAGAAGCACCGGCUAACUCCGUGCCAGCAGCCGCGGUAAUAC